rnacentral:lncRNA from 1 species
GCACACGCAUAUGUGUCCAGGUGCCUACGCAGGUGCCUGACCCUGGGCAAGUCGCUCCGUCAUGCGGACCUCAGUUUUCUCAUCUGUCCGACGAAGGAAUCCGGGCAGAACAUGAAUUCUCAGAACUGGUGGGACUUUCCAACCAGUUGCUUCUCAUGCAGAGGCAGAAAAAUGAGGGGAUCAACAGCCCAGGCCUCAGGGGCACCCUUCUUGGCCCUUACAGUCCUGGAUCAAGAAUCUGUCAUUCAGAUUAUUCCAGAGCCCCUGCCCCAGUUCUACUUAUGCCUCCUGGAUGCUGAGCUGACAGGCGUGGGCCCCUAGAAAUAUUGUGGCUUCUAGGCACUGCACUGUGCCUCAUGGAGAAGUACGCCCUGCGUGCUGGAAGUGAUGGGCAGUCCUAAGAGUCUUGUCCUGGGAACUCCUCUGGACCCAGCAACCUCUGCUGCCACCUGACCUAGAGCCCAACCCCACUCCUUCAGCCGAGCAGCCCUAAGGAGAGAAACUGAGUCCGAGGGAUGUCAACAUGCCAAGUCCAUGGAAAUAUCAGUGGGCUGGAAUUCUAGCUGCCUGAAAGAAGACAUUCCUCACACAAGACCUCACAAUCAUAUCCAUGGAAUUAUAGCACUGGGCUCUCCAGAUGGUGCUACAGGAAGACCUCCAGAAAUUUGACAAUCCUCUAUUCAAGGCCCUACCACAGAGACACACAGGAACGGAACUCAGAAUCACAAACAAAGAAACUUUGAUCCAAGAAAGAAAAUGAUCUUUAAAAAGACCCUCGUUUCAUGCUGGCCGAUGCUGAGAAAAUCUGCUCUGAAGGAUAUUUGGAGACACUGAUUAAAAGAUGGUUGUCCCAGUGGAGGGGGAUUCUUCGUGUUACGUAGAUAGGAAGCACGAUGCAAAAGUGUUGAAGCAGGAGUGUAAAGAAUAAUUAAAACACCUGCCCAAGACCCAAGCAAGGAUAGGAUUUCCCAGACAUUCGUGAGGGAGAAAAUGCCAUGUCCUUUCCUUCUGGUGUCACAUCAGAAUCUGAAGGCUGCUAGAGAAGGGAGAGAAACAUGAAAGUGAGUCCCAUGCUGAUUGUUGUUGAAAUACCUGGAAAGAAACUGGCAAAGACUAUCCAAGGGAUGCUAAGACAUGUCCGAACUUACAAAACAGUAGAACCUGAAUAGGAAUUUGAAGUUGUCUAUACUCUCCUCAGCCACACCCUGCCAUUUUACAGAUUGUCUUCUCUGGGGAAGUUAGCUGUCAUGUUGUGAGGAUACUCAAGCAGUUUAUAAAGAGGUUCAUGUCGCAAGGAAUGGAGGCCUCCUGCCAACAGCCAUGUAAAGGAGCCAUCUAGGAAAUAGAUUCUCCAGCCCCAGUCAGACCUUCAGAUGAUUACAGCCCCUACCAACCUUCUGACUGCGGUGGAAGGAAGGUUCCGGAACCAGAACCACCCAGGGUAUGGAAUCAUAUUCUCCUCUACCUCAUCAAACUUCUCGGAAAGCUCAAAUGGAGAGGGAUGGUGAGCAGUGGCUGAGGAGUAGCAGCUCCCAGGAAGAGCACUCUUGGUGUUGCGAUCUUUGAAUGACGUCUUGGGCUCCAUGGCGCAGCUGGACAGACAGAUGUGUACAGAUGGACGGCCGCAGCGGUGCAGCUGCAAUGCCCAGCGGAAGCAGCAAUGUUCAGCACUUCAGAAGUAGCACUGCCUUACCUGGGUGGCACUGGUGGCCUCUGGGGCGAAGCCGCUGGGCCUCCUGCAACAGUGAUAAAGUCUCCAGCAACCUGUGGGGAAAGGCCUUGCAGAAGACACUCUGGAAACAGAACAAUUCAGGAGGCCGGCCAGCAGUGAGAGGUCCCGCAUCCACUGAGGUGAACAACAGUGCCGUGGGAUGUUAAUGUGGGUAAGUCUCAUCCAAUCCUUUGAAGGCCUGAAGAACAAAGAGUGAGGUUUCUGGAAGAAGAAAAUUUUACCUCAAGCCUGCAAUGUAGAAAUUCUGCUUGAGUUUCCCGCCUGCUGGCCUGCCCUGUGGAAUUCGGAGUCAAGAAGGAGUCUUGUAAGCAUUAACUGAGAUAGUAUAUGAAGAGUGCUUUUGCACCGAGUGAACCUUCAAUCAACUGUACUAGUUUGUAUGCCUGGAAGAGCUGCUAUAUGGGAUCAGAAAGAAAAAUAAGGUGCAUACGCCAGAAAAAAAAUACUUGCAUAUGAGUACUAGGAGAUGCAUGACAAUGUUCACGGCAGCAGUAUUCAUGGCAGUGAAAAAUGAAAAGAACUGAAAUGCCCAUUGAUAAAAACGUCUACUUAUUUGUGUCAUCUUUGCACAGUGGAAUUGUGCGAGUGGAAAUGAUUGAUCUACAGCUAGGAGAAGCAGCAGAGCUCAAUCUCAAAAACAUAACGUUGUGUGGAAAAAGCUAACCUCAGAACACUUUGCGGCUCUAUCUUAGCAAACCAGGAGAGAAAUUCUCCUGAUGGCCUUGAAGAAGCAAACAGCCACCUGGUUAAGCCCCUGUGGAUAGUGCCAAGUGGCAGGAAAGUGGGAGCCACCUCUAGGACCUGAGGAUUAAAGUCAGUAAGAGCUGGGACCUCACUCAUGCAGACUCGAGGACAUGAAUUCGACCAACAACUUGAAUGAGCUUGGAAGUGGAUUCUUCCCUAGUCCAGUCUUCAGAAAUUAAGAAUGUUCCCAAAGAAUGAUGGAGACAUUUCAAAAGGAUACGGAAGCCAGAUUGUGGGCGCUUCUACUGGCCAACUCUGGGACAUCGUGGACAUCAAAAUAAAUUUGUAAUAAUAAAGGAUUAUAGCCUAUUAGUUAAAUCAGAAAAAUCUGAUUUAACUAAAUGAGUAGGAGGAAAAGAAAGCUCUUCCUUAUAUUAGAAAGUCAAUUAAUAAAUGCAGAAAGGAAUGAAAAAAUUAGAAAAGCCACCAUUUGGCAACCAUGGCAGGCAGAAUGGGGAGUAUGCCUCCAGACAGUAAUUCCUUUCAAACUGGUUUAUAGGAACUCACUGAGCUUGCUGAUCGACCUCUGAGAGGCAAAGUUUCUGAAUUAUGAAGUACUGAUUAUAUAAACUUAGACAGAGACAUGCUUCAUUAUUUAAUAGGACUGUGUCAAAAGCCUACUAUUAGGAUGAUGUGUUGGGUGUGGAACAGGGUCUCUUCCUGCCAGGAACACUGGUGAUUUCACUCCGUGUUCAGGCUGAUCUUUGAAGUUGAAGACAAGCAGAAGAAUCCUUCUAAAAUUUAGCCAUGCCCAUAGGCUGGGAGGGACACUGCUCCAUUCAGAGGCAGCAAAGCACAUUACUGUAUCUCCUAUAGAGCUUUGAGCAGUCCAGUGUACAUGGAGAAACUUAGUAAAUGUUGUUGAAUUAGUGAAUGAACAAAUCAAUGGACCAAGUCAGGGGUAAGUCUUACAUUUGUCAUCUAGGUGAUUAAGAAAGGAAAAAGUAUCUGUUUCAAGAGGAUUACAAUCUAACUGUACUCCAAUAGUAAAAUUUACUCUUUUGGAAUCUGAAGACA